UACAGAGGUCUCAAGCGUUGUUCGGAUUCAUUGGGCGUAAAGGGUGCGUAGGUGGCGCCGUAAGUCGGGUGUGAAAUUUCGGAGCUUAACUCCGAAACUGCAUUCGAUACUGCGGUGCUUGAGGACUGGAGAGGAGACUGGAAUUCAUGGUGUAGCAGUGAAAUGCGUAGAGAUCAUGAGGAAGACCAGUGGCGAAGGCGGGUCUCUGGACAGUUCCUGACGCUGAGGCGCGAAAGCGUGGGGAGCAAACAGG
rnacentral:rRNA from 1 species